UGGCCCGCCUCUCCGCCGUUGCGGACCUCCUGCUUCCUCAUCGAGUCCAGGAUUGCCACCAGCAGCUGCGGACAGACGGCCCGACCUGCUGCCCGCUGUCUCCCUGCCCAGGGGCCUGGGGACAGAACUCUCGUUUGAACAAUUGCUCUGCAUGGCCCAGCCCCACCUCUGCCCCCAGCAAUGCUGAAGGAUGGCAUCUGUAAGAGGGCCGCCUCGGCGUAGUCCGACUCUCCUAGGAGUGGUUACAACCCCGACUGUUAGACCUGAGACAAGGACACAGGCCCAGAGAGGUUAAAUGACUUUCCCCAGGAUACGCAACUGCGAAGCAGUCGAGUUGGGGUAGACACCAAGGCUUCACUGACAGCAGCACUGGCGCUGGACAAUCGACCUGCCUCGGAUGGCCCUACUCAGAUAAGACCCCCACUCUCCAACCGGGCCUUCCCCGUUAGACGCCUUGUUCCAGCAGGAGCAGAAGAGACCUCAGCAGCUGGACUAGGAACCCCACAUUCCCGCGACCUCCCAGGACCAACAGCAGAGGCUGAGGAGGGGUUUCCCUCGAUGGCGUGGCCACCUGGCCAGCUGUGUGGACAGCCACGCCUGCAGUCCCAGAUGCCACCCCAGCUUGGAGCACAUCAGAGGCCUCUGAGCACCGGGCCAUCUGGUGGCCACACGCCACAAGUCAGGUAGAUCCUGCCCAGUGUAGACAGCCUCUGGUGGGCCGCAGGGGGCCUGUGACCUGAGUUGGAAGACGGAGGGCAGGUGGCCUUGGAUCGCCUCGGGGAUCUGACGGCCAGAGUUUGGUCAGGCUCUAGAGAUCUGUGCUCUAGUGGACAGGGCAAGGCCAGACGCACAACUUGGAGGCCAGGCAGCCUCUGUGUCCCCAGAGCCUCACUCGUGGGCAGGACACAGCUAAGGACUGUGCUCCCUGGUGCUGGUGUCGCUAAGACCCCGGCCCUCAGGCUCCACAUUGGGCUUCUGCUCCACCCCUGCGAAGACCCAGGUCCUGACCUCCUCUUGGCCUCUGCCAGUGAGGUCCAACCUGUCCUUUGUUCCCCCAGGGCCUCAUCCCGUCCUCUAGGCUGUGUGUGUGGGGGGCAGCCGGCCCCCUCUGCCCUGCACUGUGGGGCUGCGGGGCCUGCCAUGCUCCCCUCCGCCAGGGCUGCCCCUAUCUUGGGCCACUGCUGCUUGGAUGCUCCUCUCUCCUGACUCCUGCCCCACCCUGUCUCUCAGGGCCUGAGAGUUGGGUUCUCGGCUCCCUCUCAACUUGGCGGCCCCAGCAUCGUGACCGCUGACCACCUGAGGAGGGAGGAAGCAGUGUCUUCACCACAAGACAGGGCCCUCCUGAUGGCAUUGCCCCAGAGCCCUUGUGGGGACAGGGUCAGGCUCAACCCUGGGGAUCUCGGAGCCAGGACAGAGGAGGGGAUGCCCAGCCUGCACCCUGACCUGGGCGCAGCGGUAGGAUGGCCUGUAAUGGCCAAGGGUGAGCCCCCAGGGUGGGGAAAGCCUGUGCCUCCAUUGAGGGGAUGGGGGGGCCCUGGGGCCCCAGAGCCUGGCCACAGGGGUGGACCCCAUGACCAACAGCCAGCCGUGGCCCAGCUCAGCGGCACCUCUUCUGAGAAAGCCUCUGAGGUUCCCGGUCCUGUCAGGAUGGCGAGCCUCAUCUCUCCCAGGGGCAGCUGGCGGGGUCCCUGGGGCCGCGCACCCAACACAAGGGCCACAUUUAUGGCGCAGGCAGUGGGGGCUGGCCCCCUCCCCACCUGCACCACCUCGCUUGGUCCUCAGGACCCCGGGCAGAUGUGGUAGGAAGGGGGAUGCAGGACCGGGUCUGCUGAUUCUAGGUUUAACCCCUGGGGCGUGCUGCUCAUCGUCACCUCUGCCUGCAGCCUUUCCAGCUACUUCCUGCCCCUCCUUUCCCAUCCUUGGUUCCUGGGAAUCUGGGCGCUGUCCCCUCGGCCUGUUGUGGGCUGACCUUGAGCAUGUGUUUGCUUAUUUCACACCAGGAUCUGGUCUGCCCAGCAGCGCCCAGCACCCCUGGGGACAUCUUCCUGGAGUCACCUCAGCCACCCCUCCCCAGAGUGUCUCAGGCCUUAAAGUCAUGAUCCUUCCUGCCAGCUGUCUCCUCUUCCUCUCCCGUCCGGAGGCACGCCUGCACGGAGACAGCCUGGCCUCAGCUUACCUCCCGCACCCCGUCGCUCCAAGGAUGCCCUGAUGGGGGCUGGGGGCGUUCCAGCCUGGGGCUUCCAGUGGUCAGAGGCAGCUGGAUGGUGCCAGGAUGUCCGGGGAGUCUCUGUGGCUGGCUGGUCAGCUGGGUCCCAUGCUGCCAGGUGCUGUCCGGGCAGGAGUGCAGCCCUGUCUGAAGGGCUGGGGAGGUGCUGGCCUGGCAGGGCAGCGGGGCCACAGCCCGCCAGCUCCUGCAGUCCCCCGAGCCCACUGGCUGUCACGCAGCUGGGGCUCCUCACCUCUUCCUGUGCCGCGCGCCACCUCAGCCCUCCUUCCUGUCUGAUUUCAAAAGCCAACAGCCUCGCAGACGAAUCAAUGAGCCGCAGCUGCUCUAGCCAGCUCCCUGGCUCUGACACCGCCCCCUAAGUUAGAGGCUGGGGUGCUGUCCGGGUCUUGCUUUGAGGAUGGAGUGCCCGUGCAGGCCUGAUGCUCAGGGGAAAGGGGUCCAGCCAGGGCCCAAAGGAAAGCAGACUCACCAUCAGCACACCUGUGCAUUUCAGGGGCUGGUAGGGAAACCAGGCCUGCAGUUGGCACGUUCAGUGACUUGCCCAAGGCCACCGAGCAGGGAGCUGGCCUCGCCAGGGCUGAUACAGUGUCCUCCAAGCCCAGGUCAGCCCGCUGCCAUCCGGUAUGCCCUCCUCACCCUUCCUGACCCAUUCGCUUUCCUUCUCUCCUGCACCCAGCAGGCAGCUUAGCCUCAGCGGUAACCCACAGUCUCUUCCUGCAUCACAGGCCCCCAAGGUAGGUCGGCAUCACCUGAAACAGCAGACUAUGGCAGUUCACGCAGGGCCCUGGAGGUGGACCUCAGCACACAGGCUGCACUGAAGGAACAGCCCAGAGUGGACAACAGGAAAAAAGUUACAAUAGAGGAAAAAUACAGGAUCCCCUCUGGCGACAGGAAGCAGGCCACUUAACGUGAGGCUGCUGAGAAAAGCGAGUGACAAGGCGGGAGCAAAGUGAUGGGGACAUCAGUUUUCCUCAGAAAGCAGGUGGGAGCCGGUGACGGUCACAGAGCCAUAGAGUAGUAGGUUCAGCUCCGUGCGGCCAUUUGUGUGUGAGGGGAGGUGAGAGGGCUGUGGCUUGAUUGACCUGUCCUCAAGGGCUGCAGGGGGGAUGGGGGGGGGGGCAGGGCUCCGUGGCAGCCCCUCUGAAGGGCUCCACACAAGGACAUCUUCCCACGCCCCCCAUCAGUGCGUGCCAGGUUCUGGGGGACACAUGGUGGCCACCUCGAGAAGCCUGCCGAGGCCCCAGGAAGCAGAGUGCAGACUGGAGGCUGCUCACCGGCGGCGGUGCAGCCGAGGCGUCUGGGAGCAGGCCGCCCACAGGAUGUUGGAAACCACAGGGGCCUGGGCCCAGCGCAGGCUUCCCAGACUCGUCCUGUUAAAAUGCAGAUUCUGCCUCUGUGGGGGUGGGUGGCCUGGCCUGCAGGUAACACACCCAGGUAAUGCUGCUCGGCCUUGGGCCUCUCCCAGAGUGCAGAGGGGGCUCGGCGCCCGGCGAGGGCUCGUCACUGAGGCUGUGUGGGUGGACGGACGUGUGGGUGAAGGAAUGAAUGGACAUCUGUCCUCUACAAACCAGAGGAAGGAGGAGCAGCAGGACUUCUGCAGACUUGGUGUGGGGGCCGAGGGGAGCUGUGGGGGCCGAGGGGAGCUGUGGGUCCCCUCCCCGUGGCUUGUUUCCCUCAUUGUUAUUCUAGAGGGUAGCAUCUAGAAGGUUUUUAUAAAGGCUUUUGGUUUUUAUUGCACAUCAUAUAAAACGGACUGCACUGUAUUUAAAACACAACACAUUCACAAGGACGCAGAGACCCAAAAUUUCUUCCUUUCUGGCCCUUACCUGUGCUGCACAGGCACCUGCAACCCACACCAGUUAACGAAGAACUUACUUAUUUUGGGGGCUUCAGAGCCGUGCUGAGCAUUCUGUACUGUCCAGUUUGCAGACUGCUGGUGACGAUGACAGGUACCCGGGCAGAACAGCUGGGCCAGCGGAGCACCUGGGGCCUGGCAGUGCGGGGUCUAUGGACACCUGGGCUGCUGGUGGAGGCUGGGCUUGCAGCCCAAGUGCCGGGAAGAACACGGGUGGGCAGGCUGGACCAGAUGUCCGUCUCAGAACACAGACACAGGUGACUGGUGGACAGAGUUCUGAGAUGCGGCCGAAUCCCGCCCCGCCUGGCCAGCUGGCGGCCCAGCACCCUCCUGAAACACACGGGGCCCCACGGGUUAAAAGCAGACGAGCUGUGGGCACUGAUGGAGGGAGGGGCCGGGGGCUCUGAAUCCAGCGGGCAACAUGCUCCCCAGGCCACUUUGGGAAAGGGAGUUGAGAGGAAGCCCACCCAGGUCCAUGCUGUCCCCCAGUGGCAGCGGGUGUGGUCCUAGGGCCCAGAGCCCCGCAGGGGCCUGGCUCACUGAGAGGGUGCAGACCCUUGCGGGCUGCUGACGGCCGGGGGAGUGGAGGGGGGCCCGGGCUGGCCGGCUCUGCGCCCCCUCUUCUUGCCCAGAGGCUGCCGUCUCUUCCUCCCAAGCUUCUCUUUGCGGGCGGCGGCCGUGGUGAAAGUGAUGCAGUGGGCGUCCAGGAAGUCCAGCAGCUUCCCCGUGGCUACGCGAAUGCCCUGCUGCUUCAGCUCGGCCUGCAGCUCCGCCAGCUCGAAGGGCUGGUACAGCAGGACCUUGCGGUAGAGGGCCGGCCUGGAGCGGAUGCAUCGCCUCACCGCCUCCUCCGUGGCCGCUGCCUGGUCAGCCGCCUGAGAAGCACUGACCCCCUCCUCAUUCUCCUCGUCUCCUGCAGACUCCAGAGCUGCCCCAGACUCACAGGAAGAACUGCAAAGAACCAGACGGAAACAUCUCGUGACCCCCUUCUCUCCAGCCCCUACCUGAGACCAGGCACCUCUGCGGGGGGGAAGGGCGUGUCCCUGUGAGCCCAGCAGCUGUGUGCCCCGCACUCCAGCCACCAGCCUGAGCAGGACAGCGCCCUCAGCCGGAAUCUCCUGCCGAGGGCAGCAUGGCAGGCUGGCCCCACGCAGGAGGACCUACGAAGCCACUGGCCCUGUCCUUCCAUGGGGGUACCUUUGUGAGCGGCAGGAGCUGUCACUGCUGUCCACGGAGCUGGCUGUGGAUUCCUGAGAGGCUGGGAGCUGGGCAUCACUAUCAGGGCCUAGAGGCCCCUCCUUGGCUGGUGACAUGCUCAGGCCGGGCACGCUGCCACCGGGCUGCUGCUUUGGAUGUUGGAGGCCCUUGGUCUUAGCUGGUCCCUUGGAUCUUUGGGG